CCUACGGGAGGCAGCAGUGAGGAAUAUUGGUCAAUGGGCGCGAGCCUGAACCAGCCAAGUCGCGUGAGGGAUGACGGUCCUACGGAUUGUAAACCUCUUUUGCCGGGGAGCAAACGUGCGUUCGUGAACGCGCGUCGAGAGUACCCGGAGAAAAAGCAUCGGCUAACUCCGGGGCAGCAGCCGCGGUAAUACGGAGGAUGCGGGCGUAAUCGGGAUUUAUUGGGUUUAAAGGGUUCGUGGGCGGAAAGCCAAGUCAGCGGUAAAACUGCGGUUUUAAACGGAGUCGAGCCGUUGAAACUGGCGUUCUUGAGUGGGCGAGAAGUAUGCGGAAUGCGUGGUGUAGCGGUGAAAUGCAUAGAUAUCACGCAGAACUCCGAUUGCGAAGGCAGCAUACCGGCGCCCUACUGACGCUGAGGCACGAAAGCGUGGGUAUCGAACAGGAUUAGAUACCCCAGUAGUC
rnacentral:rRNA from 1 species